rnacentral:lncRNA from 1 species
AUGUUCCCAGCCUUGGAAAUGCAGCUAAAGCAGGAGACUCACAGACUUCCUGAUCCCUAUGAAGACUUUAUGUACCAUCACCUCCAAUAUUAUGGCUACUUUAAAGCUCAAAGAGGCAGUUUACCAAACUCUGCAACGUAUCAGCAUAUUCAGAAGAAUAACCAUCGAUACCUGUUGAAUGGCUCCCUUGGGGAAAAAGAUGAUUUGUUACCAGACACCCUGCAAAAGGACACACAUACUGAUUAUUACUCACAUAGAAGCUUCUCCUUUUGCAGGGUGUCUGGUAACAAAUUGGUUUUCUUUUUAACUCUAUAUGGUAUUUUCCAAUUGUACCAAAGGGUUAUGUGACUCUCCAAAAUUAAGAAUCCCUGAAAUAUCUUUC